rnacentral:rRNA from 1 species
UAGGGAAUCUUCGGCAAUGGGGGGCAACCCUGACCGAGCAACGCCGCGUGAGUGAAGAAGGUUUUCGGAUCGUAAAGCUCUGUUGUAAGAGAAGAACGUGUGUGAGAGUGGAAAGUUCACACAGUGACGGUAACUUACCAGAAAGGGACGGCUAACUACGUGCCUG